GCGGAAGUAGUUCAGUGGUAGAAUACAACCUUGCCAAGGUUGGGGUCGCGGGUUCGAAUCCCGUCUUCCGCC
rnacentral:tRNA from 1 species